GUGCUUGCUUUGGCAGCACAUACACAAAAUUAGAAUGAUACAGAGAAGAUAAGCAUGGCCCCUGUGCAAGGAUGACAUGCAAAUUUGUGAAGUGUUCCAUAUUUUU